rnacentral:rRNA from 1 species
GAGUUUGAUCUUGGCUCAGAUUGAACGCUGGCGGCAUGCCUUACACAUGCAAGUCGAACGGCAGCACGGGAGCUUGCUCCUGGUGGCGAGUGGCGAACGGGUGAGUAAUGCAUCGGAACGUAUCCUGGAGUGGGGGGAUAACGUAGCGAAAGUUACGCUAAUACCGCAUAUUCUGUGAGCAGGAAAGCGGGGGACCUUCGGGCCUCGCGCUCUUGGAGCGGCCGAUGUCGGAUUAGCUAGUUGGUGAGGUAAAGGCUCACCAAGGCGACGAUCCGUAGCAGGUCUGAGAGGAUGAUCUGCCACACUGGAACUGAGACACGGUCCAGACUCCUACGGAGGCAGCAGUGGGGAAUUUUGGACAAUGGGGGCAACCCUGAUCCAGCCAUGCCGCGUGAGUGAAGAA